GAUUCAGAAAAUGUCACGAUUUGAUUCGAUAUAGAUUUUUAGGCUCAUGAUUCAAUUCAAAAACGAUUCUCUAUUAAAAAAAUGAUUCCCAGUAUGUAAAUGUAGUUCCUUUCCCAUCAUGUGAUGGCAGUAGACAUACAGUUUAAAAGAAAAGAAACAACAAAUUAAAUGUAGUUUGAUAUUACUUUAUAUGUCUUCAUACAAACUAAAAACUUCUGCAACUAAAAACUGUAAAGUGCCAAGCUUUGGCCAGCUUCAAAAUACAUUUAAGUCA